rnacentral:rRNA from 1 species
AUUAGAUUAGCUAGUUGGUGGAGUAAUAGCCUACCAAGGCAAUGAUCUAUAGCUGAUCUGAGAGGAUGAUCAGCCACACUGGAACUGAGAUACGGUCCAGACUCCUACGGGAGGCAGCAGUGGGGAAUAUUGGACAAUGGGCGAAAGCCUGACCCAGCCAUGCCGCAUGAGUGAAGAAGGCCUUCGGGUUGUAAAGCUCUUUUAGUGAGGAAGAUAAUGACGGUACUUACAGAAGAAGUCCUGGCUAACUCCGUGCCAGCAGCCGCGGUAAUACGGAAAGGGCUAGCGUUAUUCGGAAUCAUUGGGCGUAAAGGGCGCGUAUGCGGAUUAGUAAGUUAAAAGUGAAAUCCCAAGGCUCAACCUUGGAAUUGCUUUUAAAACUGCUAAUCUAGAGAUUGAAAGAGGAUAGAGGAAUUCCUAGUGUAGAGGUGAAAUUCGUAAAUAUUAGGAGGAACACCAGUGGCGAAGGCGUCUAUCUGGUUCAAAUCUGACGCUGAGGCGCGAAGGCGUGGGGAGCAAACAGGAUUAGAUACCCUGGUAGUCCACG